ACGAUGAAGCCCAGCUUGCUGGGUGGAUUAGUGGCGAACGGGUGAGUAACACGUGAGUAACCUGCCCUUGACUCUGGGAUAAGCGUUGGAAACGACGUCUAAUACCGGAUACGAGCUUCCACCGCAUGGUGAGUUGCUGGAAAGAAUUUUGGUCAAGGAUGGACUCGCGGCCUAUCAGCUUGUUGGUGAGGUAAUGGCUCACCAAGGCGACGACGGGUAGCCGGCCUGAGAGGGUGACCGGCCACACUGGGACUGAGACACGGCCCAGACUCCUACGGGAGGCAGCAGUGGGGAAUAUUGCACAAUGGGCGAAAGCCUGAUGCAGCAACGCCGCGUGAGGGACGACGGCCUUCGGGUUGUAAACCUCUUUUAGCAGGGAAGAAGCGAAAGUGACGGUACCUGCAGAAAAAGCACCGGCUAACUACGUGCCAGCAGCCGCGGUAAUACGUAGGGUGCAAGCGUUGUCCGGAAUUAUUGGGCGUAAAGAGCUCGUAGGCGGUUUGUCGCGUCUGCUGUGAAAUCCCGAGGCUCAACCUCGGGUCUGCAGUGGGUACGGGCAGACUAGAGUGCGGUAGGGGAGAUUGGAAUUCCUGGUGUAGCGGUGGAAUGCGCAGAUAUCAGGAGGAACACCGAUGGCGAAGGCAGAUCUCUGGGCCGCUACUGACGCUGAGGAGCGAAAGGGUGGGGAGCAAACAGGCUUAGAUACCCUGGUAGUCCACCCCGUAAACGUUGGGCGCUAGAUGUGGGGACCAUUCCACGGUUUCCGUGUCGUAGCUAACGCAUUAAGCGCCCCGCCUGGGGAGUACGGCCGCAAGGCUAAAACUCAAAGGAAUUGACGGGGGCCCGCACAAGCGGCGGAGCAUGCGGAUUAAUUCGAUGCAACGCGAAGAACCUUACCAAGGCUUGACAUAUACGAGAACGGGCCAGAAAUGGUCAACUCUUUGGACACUYGUAAACAGGUGGUGCAUGGUUGUCGUCAGCUCGUGUCGUGAGAUGUUGGGUUAAGUCCCGCAACGAGCGCAACCCUCGUUCUAUGUUGCCAGCACGUAAUGGUGGGAACUCAUGGGAUACUGCCGGGGUCAACUCGGAGGAAGGUGGGGACGACGUCAAAUCAUCAUGCCCCUUAUGUCUUGGGCUUCACGCAUGCUACAAUGGCCAGUACAAAGGGCUGCAAUACCGUAAGGUGGAGCGAAUCCCAAAAAGCUGGUCCCAGUUCGGAUUGAGGUCUGCAACUCGACCUCAUGAAGUCGGAGUCGCUAGUAAUCGCAGAUCAGCAACGCUGCGGUGAAUACGUUCCCGGGCCUUGUACACACCGCCCGUCAAGUCAUGAAAGUCGGUAACACCCGAAGCCAGUGGCCUAACCGCAAGGAUGGAGCUUC
rnacentral:rRNA from 1 species